CAAGGAAUUUUCGUCAAUGGGCGCAAGCCUGAACGAGCAACGCCGCGUGUGGGAUGACGGCCUUCGGGUUGUAAACCACUUUUGAGGGGGACGAUCAUGACGGUACCCCUGGAAUAAGCCCCGGCUAACUCUGUGCCAGCAGCCGCGGUAAGACAGAGGGGGCAAGCGUUGUCCGGAAUUACUGGGCGUACAGCGCACGCAGGUGGCAUGGCAAGUGUGGUGUGAAAGCCCCGCGCUUAACGCGGGGAGGCCAGCACAGACUGCCACGCUCGAGGGAUGCAGAGGGUGGUGGAAUUGCCGGUGUAGUGGUGAAAUGCGUAGAGAUCGGCAGGAACACCAAGGACGAAGGUAGCCACCUGGGCAUCACCUGACACUCAUGUGCGACAGCGUGGGGAGCCAACC
rnacentral:rRNA from 1 species